CCAGCAAAGCCAGCAGUUGGUUGAUGUCCAUCAAGUUCGUGGAGUCCCAGCCUGAGGCAGGGGACGGCAGCUUCAGAGCUUCAAACAGGGAGCUGACGAGCCUCCUUGUAUCCUGCAAGUCAGCCCAGCUCACCACCAGCACGUAGACCACGCAGAGGCAGCCCACAGUGGUCACAACCACGGGAUUGUCCUCAAAGGUGGCAAAGAGCUCAGCGGUCUGGCGGACAUCGACGGCAUUGGGCAUCACCAGGAACGCGCUUCCAAAGAAGUUUUAAGCUGGUCGCCUCCCCUAGGAAGGAAGGCCGCCUCACCCUAGGAAGCAGCUCAAGAAGCUGGCCCGGUGAGAGGACUACCUGGAGCAGCAUUUGGUGGGAGGUGAGUUUUGGCGUCGUAGCUGGUCUUGUUGGGG